rnacentral:ncRNA from 1 species
UGAUAUGGUCGUAGUACGGCGACCAGUAUAAUCGAAAGAAACGUACAAACGGA